CGUCACUCGUCUGCGAGCUGUCUGAGUUGACGGGCUUAUAAUAUAAACCUCGCAGCUUACCAGUACAGAACAACAUCACGGCCGCGCGGUGACGGAGUCCUUUGUCCUUUCAGCAUCCUACCUUUUAACAGGAUCUUAUUGGUGCCAUCAAGUCCGGAUUAACUGCAGCUGCAAUGUUCCUGGUGGGACUUAUCCUGGUGAGAGGUUGUCCGAUGCCAUCUCCACGGCUAGCUGUACGGUGACGUCCAGAAAGAUCCUUCCCUGUGUAAAAGCCCCGCCAGAGGACCUGAAACUAAGAUAAGUUCUUGUGUGUCUUAUGGGGUGUAAAAUGGAAACAUGUCGCAGAAUUGGGCUGGGACUAACUUCUCGUCGGCAUGAUAAGAAGGAAAUGAUUUGUGCGGCCUUUUGUGCCUUAUAAACUACAACAAAGCAAGAAGCCUUCACGGCUUCAGGAAGGGUCUGUCCUGCGAGAGCCAGCUGGUGCUAACCCUCCAAGACCUGGCCAAGAACAUGGACCAGAACAAACAGGUCGAUGCCGCGGUGCUUGACUUUAGCAAAGCAUUCGAUACCGUGCCUCACGAACGUCUACUGAGCAAACUCGAGCACUAUGGUAUUUCUGGCCUCCUUCAGUCUUGGCUUAGGGCUUUCCUUACGGAGAGAACCCAGAGGGUUGUCUUUGGCGGUGAAACAUCUAAAGCCGUCAAGGUCACCUCUAUCUGGAGUUCCGCAGGGUAUUGUGUUAGGCCCUCUACUCUUCCUGCUCUAUAUCAACGACCUACCCGAUUCCGUAGACAUGUUCGACUAUUUGCUGACGAUUGCUUUAUUUAUCGAACUAUCAGCAAGCCUUCUGACGCUCAAGGUCUGCAGUCUGACCUCGAUGCGUUAACAGAAUGGCAAAUGCAGCAUGGCUUAUGUCGUUCAACCCCUCUAAAUGCCACAUCCUCCACAUUACCCGUAAGAAGCACCCCAUCUUAACUCAGUACUCCCUCUGCGGAGAAGCCCUCACCGGUGUUAAGUCCCACCCCUAUCUUGGAGUACAACUGUCCGAUGAAUUGCGGUGGGACACCCAUAUCAACUAAUAAUAACUAAUUUCGCUUUGUUGCUUCCAUGGCCAGGACCUUAUUGGUGCCAUCAAGGUGACGUCCAGAAAGAUCGGUGCUCGAGUUUACGCCCUGCCAAGGGACCUGAAACUAAGUUAAGUACUUACGUGUCUUCUCCGUUGAAAACAUAUCGCAGGGAUGGGCUGAGACUAACUUUUCAUCGACAUGAUAGGAAGUAAAUUAUUAGUUGUGAUGAUUCGUUAACUGAACUCUUAGUUGGAGGUAAGGUACUUUAGUGUGCUCUGUUGACAUUCCGAGCGAUGUUGUCGGGAGGGGUUUACAUUAGGACAUUUUGUAAAUGGAGGCUCCUUUGCAUUCAGGGCUUCAGUCCGUUUCUGUGGUGUACAGGCCUGGUGUGUGGCUGGUUUGGUUUCUGUGAUUGUGUCGAUGGCCGGGAUGGCAUUCGGUCAAUUAUUUCAAAUUCUGUUCUUUACAAAACUGGGUUUUCCCUGGUUCACCAUCUGUCGUCAUUUCUGUUUUAUGUCAUGGUCAGUGGUUGUCGGGGACCUAGACCAUUACAUAAUCUGCCUCGUGUUGUUUUCUUGGGUCCCGAACCAAGAGAACGGCACAGGCCAGAAAGGAAGACAGGUGGCUGAAGAGCCUAUCUAAUAUUACUAGUUUAGUCGUUUAGAAAAAAAACUCUGCGUCGACAUAGUCACAGAAACUGAAUCAGCUAUGCAUUGGGCUUGUAUAUCACAGAAGCAGACUGAAGCAAUGAGAGCAGAAGUGGCCAUUGCUUUCGAAAAUUAAAGCAAAACAAAGGCAGCAUUAUGCCAUAAGCAGCAUUACUUAGGAUCUUAUCAAAGCACGAACAACACCCUGCCACCAAACAAGAGAUAAUGAUUCCUCUCGCUAUUUCUAUGUUAAAACUAGAGCUGAAAUUACAAUGACAAAACAAAUGAACUUCCUGCCAUUCCAAUGCACGUAGCUGAGCUUUCUUUUAGGUAUAGUGUUAGAUAUAGUCUUAUAUUUCUGAGUUAGGUUUAAUUUCUGUCUCGUCUUUUCUCCCGAGGAUCAUCACACCGUAAGAAGAAAUGUCUGGACGCGGAAAGGGAGGCGAGGACUGGCGAAGGAAGGUGCCGAACGUGAGCGAAUGGGCUUCGCAGUCUUCUAUGACAAGAAGUGUCUGGGCUUGGUAAGCGAGGAAAGAAAGACACAGGGAAAUGGAGGUUUCAAAGUGUCACCGUUACUGCAAGUGCUUUCGUGACGACGUCCGGUGCAUCACCAGCCAGGGCACGUCUGAUUCGACAUAGACAAGCGAUGUCUGAACGUUACGGGUACCGUCACCGAUGGCGCUUCACAACAUCCGGGAAGACGGUGGUCCUGGCGGAAGGCGUCUUGGUGUCUCCCCUCGUAGCUGGAUUUCAGAAGCUUCUUGAGAUGAAAUUCCAUAACUGGAUGUACGUAUGUAAACCAGCUCUGCAAACCAGAUAUUUGAGAAGAAAUGUCUGGACGCCAUAAGGAAGGCAAGGUCAAGCGUCACCGUCACUGACAUGACAAUAUCGUGCUUCGUGACAACACCACGUGCAUCACCAAGGAGGACUGGUUGAACAGUUUAGCUGUGAGUCAGAUGAUGCGUGCAUACGUUCCGGCCCGGCCCUGCUUCUGAAACUGUAUUGGAGGGAGGAAGCAGACCAUGAGACUGUUGAUAGUCACAAUAGGUUGGGAAGGAGACAUCUCACAGCAUCUUCCAGGACCGCAUUGAUGCCAUGAAUUCCUGAUCAACUGCAGCUGCAAUGUUCAUGGUGGAAAUCCUGGUGAGAGAUUGUCCGACGCCAUCUCAACAUGUACAGUGACGUCCAGAAAGAUCGGUGCUCGUGUGUGCGCCCUGCGAUCUGAGUGAUGUAGCCAGUAGGGCGUUAGGGCAUUUUGUAAAUGGAGGCUCCUUUUGCCCUCAUAGCUAAAGCCGUUUCUGUGGUGUACAAGCUUGGCGUGUGGCUGAUUUUAUUUCGUGUGACUGUGUCGAUGGCCGGAAUUGUAUUCGUUCAGUUACUGUUAAUUCUGUUCUUUAUAAACAGGGUCUUCCCUGGUUCACCAUCUGUUGUAAUUUCUGUUUUAUGUCAUGGUCAGUGGUUGUCGGGGACCUAGACCAUUACAUAAUCUGCCUCGUGUUGUUUUCUUGGGUCCCGAAACAAGAGAACGGCACAGGCCAGAAAGGAAGGCAGGUGGUUGAAAAGCCUUCUUUUAUUUUAGUAUUUUAGUCCUUUUAGAAAUGCUAGAGUAUCGUGGUUCGCAGUCACAGAAACCGAAUCAAUACAAACAGAAUGCAAAGUGUACACAAAUGUACAAUUGUUCAGUUAUCAUGUAUAUCACGAUAGUAGAUACUUGUACAUAUAGUUACGCCUACUUACGUUAUGUGUUAGGUAUAGUUUUCCCAUAUUUUUGAGUGAAGAUCUCGUCUUUUUUUGUAAAGAGGCUUGGAGAUGUAGUGCUGUUUAGGCGCCUUUUGUUAGCAGCCUCUGUUUUUGAGUGUAUUUGUUUGAUGCCCUUCCAGUACAGGGGUGGCUGACACUGGAUUGUUUUGUGUGUUUCACUUAUUUUCAUUGUCGCAGAAAAGUGGUCUACAUGUUAGAAUUUAGUAAAUGUCAACAUUGUCCGUUUAUUGUGUAGAGGUUGUAGCCCUUUAAAUCAGUUGUUUGGAAAUUUCCCUAGUAACUGAGGCUAAGGCUGGCGCUGACACUAACACAAGACAAACACAUACACACAUACAUACACACUAACAGACUAUCCCCACCAAACACACACAUUUUUGACGGACACUAAUAAUCAGCUCAAAUGCCUUAGCCUUAGACUGAAAAAAAUCUAUGAUUCUUUAAGUACAAAGGCUCCACGCUACCUCUAUACCAUGUACUGACAAUGUCAAUAUUUACUGAUUUUUAGCUUUCUUUUAUCCACUAUGUCCUAGAGUGAGGGUAACUCUUAACCUAAAUGGGUUAGAUGUGAAGUUCAUUUUUGAUGCUAGAGUAUCUUCAUUUGUUAUGAGGUUUAUAUAUUAUACACUUUGCAUUUCUCUAUUUUGCUAAUAAACAAAUAUGUUGAAAUCGGA